rnacentral:rRNA from 1 species
GACGAACGCUGGCGGCGUGCUUAACACAUGCAAGUCGAACGGAAAGGCCCUGCUUUUGUGGGUUGCUCGAGUGGCGAACGGGUGAGUAACACGUGAGUAACCUGCCCUUGACUUUGGGAUAACUUCAGGAAACUGGGGCUAAUACCGGAUAGGAGCUCCUGCUGCAUGGUGGGGGUUGGAAAGUUUCGGCGGUUGGGGAUGGACUCGCGGCUUAUCAGCUUGUUGGUGGGGUAGUGGCUUACCAAGGCUUUGACGGGUAGCCGGCCUGAGAGGGUGACCGGCCACAUUGGGACUGAGAUACGGCCCAGAAUCCUACGGGAGGCAGCAGUGGAGAAUAUUGCACAAUGGGCGGAAGCCUGAUGCAGCAACGCCGCGUGCGGGAUGACGGCCUUCGGGUUGUAAACCGCUUUCGCAUGUGACGAAGCGUGAGUGACGGUAAUGGGUAAAGAAGCACCGGCUAACUACGUG